UCGCGGCGGUUCCGCGCAAUGCAAAUAAAGUUAUCGCGAAAACGCGCGUCGUGAAAACGCGCGUGGCGACGCGAUUUAUCAAGGGGUGGGGGGAUUGUGUUGUAUGACAAUGUUCGAGAUGAUACAUAUGUGAUACACAGCACACAGGUUUGUUUACAAGGAUGUUCCUCGCCGUCACGGUCCUACCUUCUUCUCCGUGUUAAACGACAAUUUGUCGGCUACGCCGUCGAGAACAUACAUUGCUAAUUGGAUAAUUAUAUGCAACAUCUAUUAACCGGUGCACGGUCCCGUGUAACGCUCGAAUUUAUUUUGUCGAUGGUGUGCAAAGCGAAAGAAAAGGGAAAAGAUUGCUUAAUAAAAGUUGAACAGCAUGGUUGGAAACGUGGCCAGUUUGUAAAAGCGUAUAAGUACUUGGUAUUAUUUAACAAGCCGCGAGCAUGUUAACCGUAUAAUUAUAUGCAAGUCGUGUCUGUGUUAAUUUAGAUAUUAUUAUUCGUAUUCAAAAUACGAAGCUGGAGAAAAUAUUCGAGAGUGUUCGAAGACUCUUCAAGAGAGAGGAGGCUGUCCUCGCGUUCCGCAUCUUUCGCGAGGCUUUAAUGACCACCACGUGGUGCUAUCAUCGGAGGUAGUACGUGAGAAACACGGACGAGUAUCAUCACGCGGUGACUCGCUAAAAUUAUCCGUGCUUCUCUUUCGAGGCAACACCGUAGGAUGAGAAUUAAGCCGGCGCAAAAAACCAAGGCGACCGUGAAGACCAGCGACGGUCUCUUCGGUUUCUCAAAGGACUUCUCCUGGGAAGGUAGUCAAGUGGAACCCUCCUGUUUCUUCGCUGACAAUGUUCCCUUUCGAAUAUUUUUUUCUUUUUUUCCUCUCUCUCUCUCUCUCUCUCUCUCGUCAGAAUUUUUUUCUCCCGGCGAAGGAGAUGUUUCACUCCUUUUCUUCUUCUUUUAUUUUUGCGUUUUGUCGACGAUUUUUUUCUCUUUUUUUUUCUUUCUUUUUCUUUUUUUUUUAGGAAUUUUGAGUCGUAUGAAUUUUAUCUUCUUUCAUUUCAACUGUGAAUUAUAAUUUUUGCAAAAUUAUUUCAAAUUUUACUUGCGACGCUUAUUGUUAAUUAUUAAGAUUAUAAUAAUUAAAUGUUGUAAAUUUA